AUUGAACGCUGGCGGCAGGCCUAACACAUGCAAGUCGAGCGGAUGAAGGGAGCUUGCUCCUGGAUUCAGCGGCGGACGGGUGAGUAAUGCCUAGGAAUCUGCCUGGUAGUGGGGGAUAACGUCCGGAAACGGGCGCUAAUACCGCAUACGUCCUGAGGGAGAAAGUGGGGGAUCUUCGGACCUCACGCUAUCAGAUGAGCCUAGGUCGGAUUAGCUAGUUGGUGGGGUAAAGGCCUACCAAGGCGACGAUCCGUAACUGGUCUGAGAGGAUGAUCAGUCACACUGGAACUGGAACACGGUCCAGACUCCUACGGGAGGCAGCAGUGGGGAAUAUUGGACAAUGGGCGAAAGCCUGAUCCAGCCAUGCCGCGUGUGUGAAGAAGGUCUUCGGAUUGUAAAGCACUUUAAGGUGGGAGGAAGGGCAGUAAGUUAAUACCUUGCUGUUUUGACGUUACCAACAGAAUAAGCACCGGCUAACUUCGUG
rnacentral:rRNA from 1 species